rnacentral:rRNA from 1 species
UACGAAGGGGGCUAGCGUUGUUCGGAGUUACUGGGCGUAAAGGGCGCGUAGGCGGCGCACCAAGUCAGGCGUGAAAGCCCUGGGCUCAACCCGGGAAUUGCGCUUGAGACUGGUGUGCUUGAGUACGGGAGAGGAUAGUGGAAUUCCCAGUGUAGAGGUGAAAUUCGUAGAUAUUGGGAAGAACACCGGUGGCGAAGGCGGCUAUCGUGGACCGUAACUGACGCUGAGGCGCGAAAGCGUGGGGAGCAAACAGGG